rnacentral:lncRNA from 1 species
UGGAUGACUUGGAUUUUAUGAAAUAAAAUAGGGUUUACAUUUUGGGUGAUUUCAAGAGUUUUGUAAGAAAUCUAUAAGUGAAAUUUUGUGGGUUAAUGGUUAUAAUUUUGUUAAAUAUGUGUUAUAAAUUUGAGCUCGAUCUAAUGGUUGAAUUGAGGAUUAUUGAGGUUUAAGUGAGUCAAGGUCUUAGAAAGUAGAAUUUUAGGUCUAGUAAGGUUUUUUAAGAUUUCUUGCAAACUACUAGUUGGAUUGAAGUAAAACUUAUGUGAGAGGAUAUUAGACUUACUUUUAUAUAUGUAUGAGAAUUUUAAAAUCAAUCAAGUGGUAAAAAGAAGAGAUAUUGGCUCUGGAAGAUUGGCAUCGAGGUUAGAGAAGGAGGCCAACCAAUACUUGAGCACGUUUUUGAGGUUAUCGUCUAUUUGAUAAUUUCGAUCAUUUUAAAUUUCUUUUUUUGCUUGUUUUCAACUUAGUUUUUAAGAAGUGUAUAAAAUUUGAGUUAAGAUCAACGGUUCAUUCAUUAAUUAUUGAGGUUUAAAACUGUUGUGGAAAUUACUAGGAUUUAGUUAGGAUUUGGUUUAGGAUUUAGGGUUUGGUUAGGAUUUACUUUAGGAUUUGGUUAGGAUUUGCUUUAGGGUUUAAGAUUUGAUUUAGGAUUUGUUUAGGAUUUGGUUUAGGAUUUAGGGUUUGGUUAGGAUUUGAUUUAGGAUUUGUUAAGAGUUUGGUUUAAGAUUUAGGAUUUGUUUAGGAUUUGGUUUAGAGUUUAGGAUUUAUGAUUUGAUUAGGAUUUAGUUUAGGGUUUAAGAUUUUAUUAGGGUUUGUUUAGGAUUUAAGAUUUAGUUAGUUUUUGGCUUAAAAUUUGAAUGAAGUUUAAUAGGAUUUUAACUAGGAUUAAAUUAAGAUUAAAUUAAGAUCAAAUAUAUUUGAGAUAUAUUUGGUAUCAUUCUAAUAUUUCUUUAAGAUUUUUUAUUAUUUCUUUGAAAUUUCUUUGAGAUUUUUUUGAAUUUGAUUAAAG